UAAGGAAUAUUGGUCAAUGGACGAAAGUCUGAACCAGCCAUGCCGCGUGAAGGAUGAAGGUCCUCUGGAUUGUAAACUUCUUUUAUCUGGGACGAAAAAAGGGAAUUCUUUCCCACUUGACGGUACCAGAGGAAUAAGCACCGGCUAACUCCGUGCCAGCAGCCGCGGUAAUACGGAGGGUGCAAGCGUUAUCCGGAUUUACUGGGUUUAAAGGGUGCGUAGGUGGGUCUGUAAGUCAGUGGUGAAAUCUUCGAGCUUAACUCGGAAACUGCCAUUGAUACUAUAGGUCUUGAAUUAUCUGGAGGUAAGCGGAAUAUGUCAUGUAGCGGUGAAAUGCUUAGAUAUGACAUAGAACACCAAUUGCGAAGGCAGCUUACUACGGAUCGAUUGACACUGAGGCACGAAAGCGUGGGGAUCAAACAGG
rnacentral:rRNA from 1 species